rnacentral:rRNA from 1 species
GACGAACGCUGGCGGCGUGCUUAACACAUGCAAGUCGAACGGAAAGGCCCUGCUUUUGUGGGGUGCUCGAGUGGCGAACGGGUGAGUAACACGUGAGUAACCUGCCCUUGACUUUGGGAUAACUUCAGGAAACUGGGGCUAAUACCGGAUAGGAGCUCCUGCUGCAUGGUGGGGGUUGGAAAGUUUCGGCGGUUGGGGAUGGACUCGCGGCUUAUCAGCUUGUUGGUGGGGUAGUGGCUUACCAAGGCUUUGACGGGUAGCCGGCCUGAGAGGGUGACCGGCCACAUUGGGACUGAGAUACGGCCCAGACUCCUACGGGAAGCAGAAGUGGGGAAUAUUGCACAAUGGGCGGAAGCCUGAUGCAGCAACGCCGCGUGCGGGAUGACGGCCUUCGGGUUGUAAACCGCUUUCGCCUGUGACGAAGCGUGAGUGACGGUAAUGGGUAAAGAAGCACCGGCUAACUACGUG